GGAACUUGAAACUUCCAACUAAGAGCUUUGUUUCUUUGCUUCAGAUGAGGCACCUAGAUGCCUGGGAGUAAUUUUCUCUCGGUGGUCUCCAGUUAGAUUGAAUACAAUCAAGUUAAAUUCCCAGACUCUAUGAGCCAAUGUGCAUAUGAUCCUGUACCCAUACUAUGCAUAACUGACUGUUUGGUUUCAGAUUACUGCCAAUGAAAACACAAACAGAAGAGAUUCAGGAAGACAAUCACACUGUGCCAAGGUAGGACAUAUUUUAUUCUAUUUAAAAUAACUGCAGAUGUACUUAAAUUGAGACAAGGAAAGCUGUGAGGUUUAGAUUUAAAGAGAAAUCAAUCAUCUUGCUGCUCAACGGAAAGAAGGAUUUAAGAAAAUUAAAGUGGAACAGUUGAAGACAUCAUCUUUCACUGCAGCCAGCAUUGGAUUAUAGGUAGAGAAAAAAAGAAAGCCUGCAGGAGAAAGGGACUGGAGCGAGGGAUAAGGAAGUAUUUUAACAACUGGAAACUGAAAAAUGUAUUUAUUUAUUGCUGGUGACCAUGAACCAAGAAAACAGAUAGAAAAAAUAGUCUCUGCUGGUCUGCACAGAUACUGUCCGCAUUUAACAAGAUUUGUAAAUUUUAUCUAAAUUGAUGUGAGCACAGACAGGGAUAACCUCUUAUGCAUACUGCCACAAUUUAUCAUCACAAAGUCUUCAUUUUGUUUAUUUGGACCUCAAGGCCUAGAGAUAAGAUAAUCUGAGUUUCUGACCAAGAGUAGAUGCUCCACUUUCUGGCUGGUCUACAUACUUUGCCACCUUCUAAGCCAUCCUUUUUUGCCACCUUCUACCCCAUAUAGCAGAGAUGAAAAAUGGUUUCUUACUGAUUUUUAUUUGCAUUUCUACAGCAUUAUGUAUAUAAAGAAGACAGCUAGGUCUUAACCUAUAUUAGUACCCUUUUUCUCUUUACAACAGAGUCAUGCUAAAGAAAAAUACAAGCAGGUAAUACAAGCUAGGCCAAUAGCUACAUUAUUGAAUCUUACACAUAAUUAAGAUAGAUUUCAGUUUUUGUUUCUCCAACCUUUAGAAAAACUAUAAAGGAUUCAAGAAUGCAAAGUAUGCAAUAUAGGGUAGAAGAUGGUUCUUUCAAUAGUCCUAGGAAAUGGACUGAUUAGUGUACAUCUGUAUGCGUGCACUCUUUGACAAAGUCUAAUGUUUCUUUAUAUUCUUCCUUUUUCAAAGCACAAAUAAAUACCAUAGCUUCUCAGCUUCCCUUUGCCUCCAGUUUCUUCCUAAUUUUGCCAAGACCCUCAAAAGUAGACACCCAUUUCCCAGUGACAUUAUCCUACAGCAAAAUUAUCACUGCUUAGCAAGAUCUAGCAAUCAGUCUACUUAGCCAUCUUUCUUGCCCUAAUUUUGUCCUCUUACUACUAUCAUUUGGUGUGAUCAGUGCAAUCAAUACCACCUAGCUUCAUCACUACCACCAACCUCACCCUACACUCUUUUUUUUAUAUUCCCUUUUGCCAGCAGUUUUUACCUCUGCAUCUCCAGCCGCUUCUACCGUUGUCUUUAGCCUAAAGCUUGAUGGCCCCAAAGAACACAUACAGCUUUCAGUGCCACUUUCCAUUCCCUUGCACAUACUCUCAGAUCUAGUCAGCUGCCAGUAGACAGUCCUUGGUGACCAGCCUUCACCCCUCCCCCUUAACCAGUAUCAAGAUGCUCCAUCCUCCAGCUCCCCAUUUUGCCAUCACCAUCCCCUGAGGCACUGCUACAACAUCUGCACCUUCUAGUCAUUUGCCAGUGUUUAAUAUAUUUUUUGAAACGUCCUGGGAACAUUAGCCACCUCAUAAUAGACUGAGAUGGGCAUGUGUCGUUUAGGUACUUAACUUUGAGCUCUUGCCAUAUAGAAUCCAUAGCCGUAAGCCCUCAAAAGUCUUCCCCUCAAGCAUGUGAGCUCCACUUAUUUCUUAGCAAUUAAGGAG
ensembl:lncRNA